rnacentral:rRNA from 1 species
GUCGCGGGACAGGCCGGCGGCGAGCCGCACGGGUUCGCGCAGCGCGUCGACGGGAUAGAUCUGGCUGCCGGCGGGCGUCUCCUCGACGCGCCCGACGAUGAGCCGGAAGCUGUUCGAGCCGAGAUCGACGGCAGCCAGUAGAUGCGGGGAUGUAACCAUCGAGGGGGCUCCGUUCUCGCCUGGCGCGCGCAGGCGACGCUGCACGCGCCGAAAAGAUGAAAGGCGCCAUUUUAAGCGCUGCGCGCCUCCCGGUGUCGGCCGCGAGCCGGCCCACACAUGCUUUCAUUGUAUCUAGAGGAUGCUUUUAUGAAAUCCCAGGUUUUCGAGCGUAUGAUUUGCCGACAAACAUCAAACUGUCAUCAGCACGUCAUCGCACCGUGAGAAUUUCCGAGCGACCUUUCGAGUCUGCGCCUGACCUUCCGUAUUCUCUGCCGAUGUCCCUCCGUUAUCCGCUCCUGAAUCGCGAACUCGGCAUCCUGGGCUUCAACGAGCGCGUGCUCGCCCAAGCCGCCGAUCCGCACGUCCCCCUCCUCGAGCGUCUGCGCUUCAUCUGCAUCACGAGCAGCAACCUCGACGAAUUCUUCGAAGUCCGGAUGGCCGGGCUGCAAGAGCAGAUGCGCGACAAUCCGGGGGCGCUCGCGCCGGACGGCAUGUCGCUGCAGCACGUGUACGAUCUCGUCGUCGAGCGCGCGCAGCGGCUCGUGCACCGGCAAUAUACGAUGCUGCACGAAACGAUCCUGCCCGCGCUCGAGCAGGAAGGCAUCUAUUUCCACGGCACCGAGACAUGGAGUGACGCGCAGAUCGAAUGGGCGCGCCGCUACUUCUUCGACGAGCUGCUGCCCGUUCUCACGCCGAUCGGGCUCGACCCCGCGCACCCGUUCCCGCGCGUGCUGAACAAGAGCCUGAACUUCGUGAUCGAGCUCGAGGGCCGCGACGCGUUCGGCCGCCAGGCGGUGAUGGGCAUCGUGCAGGCGCCGCGCGCGCUGCCGCGCCUCGUGCGCAUGCCGCACGCGCUGUCGGGUUUCCAGCACGGCUUCGUGCUGCUGAGCUCGCUGAUGCAGCGCUUCGUCGGCGAGCUGUUUCCCAAACUCGUCGUGAAGAGCUGCAACCAGUUUCGGAUCACGCGCAACAGCGAGCUCUUCGUCGACGAAGACGAAAUCACGAACCUGCGCGUCGCGCUGCAGGGCGAGCUGCCCGCGCGCCAUCUCGGCAACGCGGUGCGGCUCGAGGUGUCGGCCGACACGCCUGCGCAUCUCGUGCGGCGCCUGCUCGACGAAAGCGGCCUGACCGAGAAGGACUGCUAUCGCGUCGACGGCCCCGUCAAUCUCGUGCGGCUGAUGCAGUUGCCGGAUCUCGUCGAUCUGCCCGAGCUGAAGUUCACGCCGUUCCUGCCGGCGAUCUCGCCCGCGAUCGCGAACGCGCCGUCGAUGUUCGACGCGAUCGAUCACGGCGACAUCCUGCU